GGAGGGUGUAGGAAAGUUUUUCGGUGGGGGAUGGGCUCGCGGCNUAUCAGCUUGUUGGUGGGGUGAUGGCCUACCAAGGCGUCGACGGGUAGCCGGCCNGAGAGGGCGACCGGCCACACUGGGACNGAGACACGGCCCANACUCCUACGGGAGGCAGCAGUGGGGAAUAUUGCACAAUGGGCGAAAGCCNGAUGCANCGACGCCGCGUGAGGGANGACGGCCUUCGGGUUGUAAACCUCUUUCAGCNGGGAAGAAGGCCUUCGGGUGGACGGUACCUGCAGAAGAAGCGCCGGCUAACUACGUGCCGCAGCCGCGGUAAUACGUAGGGCGCAAGCGUUGUCCGGAAUUANUGGGCGUAAANAGCUCGUAGGCGGUUUGUCACGUCUGGUGUNAAAUCCCGAGGCU
rnacentral:rRNA from 1 species